rnacentral:lncRNA from 1 species
ACGAUUUUAUUAAGAUUCGAAACCAAAUCUGAAUAAAAAAUGAAAAAUACUUCUUGUGAUACACCCCACUCAUCCAAAGGAAGGGAUGUUGUCCACUAGUGAUGUGACUAGUGGACGACAACCUCACCCUUGGAUGGGUGGGGGUGUAUAUUCUACACCCCCAAAGGGGUGUACCACCAGCAUUACUCGUAAAAAAUUAAAGGUCAAUUUGCAUAGAAAAUUCAAUCCAUUGAAACCCUAGACAAAGAGCCCUUCGCUCUCCUCCUCCUUCCCCAUCGCAGCCAACGAGGUAGAAUUCCGGCGGUUGCUAAAUACUUAAAUAAGUGUUGGUAAAUUAGCAGCGCACUUUUUAGAUUAUACCGACACUUUUAAACUGUCACUAUAUAGCUAGUGACCUCACAUAUAGCAACACUUUUUAAAAGUGUCGGUAAUUUAGCCAGCAGCACUUUUUUUUGACAUGUAUCGACUUUUAAAAGUGUCGAUAUACACCGUUUUUGUUAUAGUGUUCGUCUUCUUUCUUCUCCUCAGCAGCACCUUUCUCUCUCCCUCCCUCCCUCCCUCUUCCUCCAAUGCCACUGCCCCUACUGCAACGACUCGACCCACCAGCAAUAAUAACUCGUUGGGCCCAAAUCACCGGUCCAAAAUGCUUAAACUCAGUUAUUAUUACUAACGCGUAGGCCUCACAUAAACUGAUCAAAAUUAGUAUCCCAUCCGAUGUUGGACUAUUGAGGCAUUACAAACUCCCCCUAUUUUAGACCCAGACGUCCUCAUCGGGUCCAAAUCAGAUCACAAAUAGACAAACUAGGACCAGAAUUACCAGACGAUGUGAGAUUCUAAAGGUAGCUCCUAUGGGUUCAAGAGGUGGCUCCCACUAAAUCCGUUGGUGUAGCACUUUGUCCCGUAUAGCACUUAACUCUCACACUUCUGGCUGGUAUUCGGCUCUGAUACCAAAUGCAAGGAUCCGACCCACCAACAAUAAUAACUCGUUAGACCCAAACCAACGGCCUAAAAUGCUUAAGCCCAGUUAUUAUUACUACCGUGUAGGCCUCAUAUAAACUGAUCAGAGUCAGUAUCCCAUCCGAUGUAGGACUAUUGGGGCGUUACAC